GUUGCUACAGCACAGCAGUGACAACCUGCCGGGUAAAACCGGCGGACUGAGCUCUGGGAAACACAGACAAGCAGACCAUCCUGGUUGGAGACAGCGGAGUGGGGAAGACGUCUCUGCUCGUCCAGUUUGACCAGGGCAAGUUUAUUCCGGGCUCCUUCUCUGCCACCGUGGGCAUCGGAUUUACAAACAAAGUGGUGACCGUGGACGGCGUGAGAGUGAAGUUGCAGGUGAGUUCGGGAGCGGGCGAGUCGUUCGUAGCCAAGCUGCCAAAAAAACAGACUCUUCCCCA